rnacentral:rRNA from 1 species
UAAAAGACGGUCUUGCUGUCACUUAUAGAUGGAUCCGCGCUGCAUUAGCUAGUUGGUAAGGUAACGGCUUACCAAGGCAAUGAUGCAUAGCCGACCUGAGAGGGUGAUCGGCCACACUGGAACUGAGACACGGUCCAGACUCCUACGGGAGGCAGCAGUAGGGAAUCUUCCGCAAUGGGCGAAAGCCUGACGGAGCAACGCCGCGUGAGUGAUGAAGGUCUUCGGAUCGUAAAACUCUGUUAUUAGGGAAGAACAUAUGUGUAAGUAACUGUGCACAUCUUGACGGUACCUAAUCAGAAAGCCACGGCUAACUACGUGCCAGCAGCCGCGGUAAUACGUAGGUGGCAAGCGUUAUCCGGAAUUAUUGGGCGUAAAGCGCGCGUAGGCGGUUUUUUAAGUCUGAUGUGAAAGCCCACGGCUCAACCGUGGAGGGUCAUUGGAAACUGGAAAACUUGAGUGC